rnacentral:rRNA from 1 species
AUUGAACGCUGGCGGCAGGCCUAACACAUGCAAGUCGAGCGGAGCGGCGGACGGGUGAGUAAUGCCUAGGAAUCUGCCUGGUAGUGGGGAUAACGUCCGGAAACGGGGGCUAAUUCCGCAAACCAACAGAUGAGCCCAGGGCGGAUUAGCUAGUGGGUGGGGUAAAGGCCUAACAAGGCGACGAUCCGUAACUGGUCUGAGAGGAUGAUCAGUCACACUGGAACUGAGACACGGUCCAUACUCCUACGGGAGGCAGCAGUGGGGAAUAUUGGACAAUGGGCGAAAGCCUGAUCCAGCCAUGCCGCGUGUGUGAAGAAGGUCUUCGGAUUGUAAAGCACUUUAAGUUGGGAGGCGUUACCAACAGAAUAAGCACCGGCUAACUUCGUGCCAGCAGCCGCGGUAAUUC